GCUUAACACAUGCAAGUCGAGGGGCAUCAGGAAGAAAGCUUGCUUUCUUUGCUGGCGACCGGCGCACGGGUGAGUAACACGUAUCCAACCUGCCCUUUACUCGGGGAUAGCCUUUCGAAAGAAAGAUUAAUACCCGAUAGCAUAAUGAUUCCGCAUGGUUUCAUUAUUAAAGGAUUCCGGUAAAGGAUGGGGAUGCGUUCCAUUAGGUUGUUGGUGGGGUAACGGCCCACCAAGCCUUCGAUGGAUAGGGGUUCUGAGAGGAAGGUCCCCCACAUUGGAACUGAGACACGGUCCAAACUCCUACGGGAGGCAGCAGUGAGGAAUAUUGGUCAAUGGGCGCUAGCCUGAACCAGCCAAGUAGCGUGAAGGAUGAAGGCUCUAUGGGUCGUAAACUUCUUUUAUAUAAGAAUAAAGUGCAGUAUGUAUACUGUUUUGUAUGUAUUAUAUGAAUAAGGAUCGGCUAACUCCGUGCCAGCAGCCGCGGUAAUACGGAGGAUCCGAGCGUUAUCCGGAUUUAUUGGGUUUAAAGGGAGCGUAGGUGGACUGGUAAGUCAGUUGUGAAAGUUUGCGGCUCAACCGUAAAAUUGCAGUUGAUACUGUCAGUCUUGAGUACAGUAGAGGUGGGCGGAAUUCGUGGUGUAGCGGUGAAAUGCUUAGAUAUCACGAAGAACUCCGAUUGCGAAGGCAGCUCACUGGACUGCAACUGACACUGAUGCUCGAAAGUGUGGGUAUCAAACAGGAUUAGAUACCCUGGUAGUCCACACAGUAAACGAUGAAUACUCGCUGUUUGCGAUAUACAGUAAGCGGCCAAGCGAAAGCAUUAAGUAUUCCACCUGGGGAGUACGCCGGCAACGGUGAAACUCAAAGGAAUUGACGGGGGCCCGCACAAGCGGAGGAACAUGUGGUUUAAUUCGAUGAUACGCGAGGAACCUUACCCGGGCUUAAAUUGCAGUGGAAUGAUGUGGAAACAUGUCAGUGAGCAAUCACCGCUGUGAAGGUGCUGCAUGGUUGUCGUCAGCUCGUGCCGUGAGGUGUCGGCUUAAGUGCCAUAACGAGCGCAACCCUUAUCUUCAGUUACUAACAGGUCAUGCUGAGGACUCUGGAGAGACUGCCGUCGUAAGAUGUGAGGAAGGUGGGGAUGACGUCAAAUCAGCACGGCCCUUACGUCCGGGGCUACACACGUGUUACAAUGGGGGGUACAGAAGGCAGCUAGCGGGUGACCGUAUGCUAAUCCCAAAAGCCUCUCUCAGUUCGGAUCGAAGUCUGCAACCCGACUUCGUGAAGCUGGAUUCGCUAGUAAUCGCGCAUCAGCCACGGCGCGGUGAAUACGUUCCCGGGCCUUGUACACACCGCCCGUCAAGCCAUGGGAGCCGGGGGUACCUGAAGUACGUAACCGCAAGGAUCGUCCUAGGGUAAAACUGGUGACUGGGGCUAA
rnacentral:rRNA from 1 species